AUACUUACAUGGCCGGGGAGAUACCAUGGUCACAAAGGUGGUUUUCCCAGGGAAAGGGUUAUCCAUUGCACUUCAAAUGUGCUGACCCCUGAAAUUUUCCCAGAUAUGGGGAAUGUGACUGCAUAAUUGUGGUAGUGGAAACUGUAUUAGUGCUUUCCU
rnacentral:snRNA from 1 species